rnacentral:rRNA from 1 species
CCAGGCGUUAUCCGGAUUUAUUGGGUUUAAAGGGAGCGUAGGCUGGAGAUUAAGUGUGUUGUGAAAUGUAGACGCUCAACGUCUGAAUUGCAGCGCAUACUGGUUUCCUUGAGUACGCACAACGUUGGCGGAAUUCGUCGUGUAGCGGUGAAAUGCUUAGAUAUGACGAAGAACUCCGAUUGCGAAGGCAGCUGACGGGAGCGCAACUGACGCUUAAGCUCGAAGGUGCGGGUAUCAAACAGGAUUAGAUACCCUGGUAGUCCGCACAGUAAACGAUGGAUGCCCGCUGUUGGUACCUGGUAUCAGCGGCUAAGCGAAAGCAUUAAGCAUCCCACCUGGGGAGUACGCCGGCAACGGUGAAACUCAAAGGAAUUGACGGGGGCCCGCACAAGCGGAGGAACAUGUGGUUUAAUUCGAUGAUACGCGAGGAACCUUACCCGGGCUUGAAUUGCAGAGGAAGUAUUUAGAGAUA